CACGAGGAGAGACUUCAUUGCUGCAACUGCAGCAAAGAUUUCUCACCAGCAAACAAACAGGGGAAUCUGCAAAGCCCUUGAAGCGAAUGGAUGCGGUAAAGGUGCUCAGAGAAGGAGAGGAGCGAGGAGGGGGACAAGGCAGCCCCGGGGUGAUGAGGAUGGGGUCCAGAAGGGAAGAAUUUGAGGAGUGUUGACAUAAAGUAGGCAAUGUUUGUCAUUAAAGUAUGCCCGAAAAAAUGUGGUCAAGGCUUUGAGAGAGCCCAAAGUGAAAGGACUCUUCCUUGGGCAACAUGUUGGACUGUACAAAUGGAGAAAGGAGAGUAAGCAGCAACAUGUAAGACUUUAACUCCCACCAUUUCUGGAUUUGUAGAUGCAGCGUGGCCAGGUGCUUCAAGCUUCUGUUGCUUUGACUUGUAUGCCCAAUGACUAUACCUUGAACUGUAAUUCAAAUA